GCGGCUCCGGCCCGAGCACUGCCUCUUGGCUGCGCCUCAGGGUCGCCUGCCGGGCCCGGGCCGCGGACCCGCUGGCUUCUCCGCGGUCUCAGAGGUGGCCUGGGGAGGCCCAGGCCGGAGGAGCGCCCAGUGCCCGCACCCACCCCCGCCACAUCCGUCCUCACCCUCUCUCGGGCUUCCGCGCCUUCAUUCCCGAGCGGCCAUAUACCUUGAAUGGGUCAUCCCUGCCUGCCGCCCUAGAGCUGCCUCUCGAAGCCCUGGGGUUGAACAUUAACCAGCCGGAGCUAUAGAGUGGGUGAGAAACUGAAGCCUCCUGCCAACAGCCAUGUGUGUGAGAUUGAAAGUGAAUUCUCCAGUUCUCUGAAUGACGGCAGUCCUGGCCAACAACUUGACCCGACACCUAAGCUGCUCCCAGAUUCCUCACCCUCAAAACUGGAUGAGAUAAUAAAUAUUUAUUGUUUUAA